rnacentral:rRNA from 1 species
GUUAAGUCCCGCAACGAGCGCAACCCUCGUCGCUAGUUACACUCUCUAGCGAGACUGCCUCGUAAUUCGAGGAGGAAGGUGGGGAUGACGUCAAGUCAUCAUGGCUCUUACGCCCUGGGCGACACACACGCUACAAUGGGUAGGACAACGGGCAGCCACACUGCGAGGUGGAGCUAAUCCCUUAAACCUACCCCCAGUUGGGAUUGCAGGCUGCAACUCGCCUGCAUGAACGUGGAGUUGCUAGUAACCGCAGAUCAGCCAUCCUGCGGUGAAUACGUUCCCGGGCCUUGUACACACCGCCCGUCAAGUCAUGGAAGCCGGUAACGCUUGAAGUCGCACAGCCAACCGUAAGGAGGCCUGCGCCUAGGGCGGGACUGGUGACUGGGACUAAGUCGUAACAAGGUAGCUGUACCGGAAGGUGCGGCUGGAUCACCUCCUUU